rnacentral:lncRNA from 1 species
UCAUGUUAACCGGAAAUUCAUUUCCCCUAGGUAGUUCUUCAUUUUGAAAACUCGAACUUGAAACAUUUUUUAAACCAUUUUCCCUAGGUACCUCUCCAUCCAUUCUCAGGAGUCAAACCCAAAACAUCAUUUAAACCAUUUUCCCUAGGUACCUCUCCAUUCUCAGAAGUCGAACUCAAAACAUCAUUUAAACCAUUUUCCCUAGAUACUUCUCCGAUCCAUUCUCAGAACUCGAACCCGACACAUCAUUUAAACCAUUUCCAGUAGGUACUUCUCCAUUCUCAGAAAUCGAACCUGAAACAUCAUUUAAACCAUUUCCGGUAG